ensembl:lncRNA
GUGUUUUUGUGUGGAAACAUUUGUCAUUGUGUAAGCAUCACUUACAAAAAGAGCUACAUAUUAAAUUCUCACAAACUUGUCACUCAAACACAAACCGAUACAAACUAAGACAUGUUUCCCUGUCCCUCAACUCUGUGGCUAAGGGAAAUUCCUGCUUCCUUCACCAGACCAGUAAUGCAUAUCAUUACCCUUAACAGAAGCACCUCCUCGCCUUUUGACAAGAGGGCAACGAACAAGUGUUUUCAGCUAAGUACAGUCAAUAAAUAUCAAAAUGAAGUUGAAAGAAAACAAGCAGAGGAUAACACUGUAGACUAUUUAGCCACACCCCAAAUGUUCUGCAGGCUUUCUUAUGGGAAGUGAGGGAGGGGAGGACAGUUCAGACUCAGCUCUGUUGAAUCACUCUGAGUGGGCGUGAGCCUAACUCCCACUAUUUCCUUGUUACUGGGAAGUGACUGCUUGACUUAUCGUACAGAGAUACAAGAGAAUAACAGGAGGGGGUGAGAUAGAGGUGGGGGCUAAUGUGGAGAGGGUGGUAUUUAAGUCAGCAAUGAUCAGUUACUGGGACCACCGAGACACGGGAUCGGGCUGGAUCAUACAGGUGGAUAUCAGUGGAGGCUGGUGGAGCACUGAAAAAUUAUUUCAGACAUUCUCAGCAAUGUUUUAUAUGGCCAGUGUCAGAUGCCGAAAAGGGAGCUAUAUUUUUUGGUUAAUGACCAGGUACAUUUAGUUUUUUGAAUUAGCCAACACAUUGUUUUUUGGAAAAUAAUGCAGGAUUUUGGAGAGGUAGGCCCUGCCUAAGCAAUGGGACAUUGUCCAGAAUUUUUCUAUCCAUCACCACAGAAGACUCCCUUUCCUCCCCGCCAACUGCCGUUACAGAAGUUGUGAAACACUUCCAGGAAUCUUGUCUGCUGCAAAUGGAUCCUUUAGCAAGGUACACAGGCUGCAGCAGCACCCACCUUCCAUGCAGUAUUGGCUAAAUCAAAAGCUGAAGUGGAAUUGUGGAAGCUGAAGGCACACAACCUGCAGGAAAAAGUGCAAGACCUUACAAAUGAGAGAGAUUUUCUGAGAGCUCAGGUGGCAGGCACAAGGCAGUGGUCGUCUUGGAGGUGUGUUUUCUAAGAAGGGGAGGAAAGAAAAGAAGAGAGAGAAGAAAUUUAGGAAGGGAAAAGAUGCUGGGUCAAGCUGACAAAGGGGUAUAUCAAAGGUUAAAAAAAAGUUAUAUGCAAGCCAUACACAUUUUAAAACGUAAACUUUUUUAACAACUCCCUCUCUUGUUUCAGUUGGCAGCCCUGCAGAGGUUGUGGCAAGAUACAAAAAUGUUCUGAACAUUUUUUGUAAGGGAAAAAGCAUGUCAGGUGCAUUUAAAAAGUAUGGCCAAUAAAAAGAGAAGAUUAAGAUGGGCAAAAGAACUCAGACACAGGACAGAGGAAGAUUGGAAAAAUGUGUUAUGGACAGACAAAUCUAAGUUUGAGAGUUCAGAUCACAAAGAAGAACAUUUGUGAGACACAGACCAAAUGAAAAGAUGUUGGAAGCUUGCUUGACACCAUAUUAAUGUGUAUUAACACACACCAAUGAUAAUUAGCAUCAAUUAAGAUUUGGAUUGCAUUAUAUUAAUGUAUUGAUUGAUUUUUUUUUAACAUGUCCUUUAUUAGUUACCUAUUCACUUGGUAACAUGUUUGUUGACACAACCACACACAUUAAUUAACUACUAGUUUACACUAUGUUUUAAUGUAUUAGUUAAUGUUUCUUGAUAUGUGUGCCAACAGUUAACUAAUAGUUAAUAUGCUUAUUAACACAUGCGCACAUAAUCAAGGCUUUAUAGAUGCAUUAAUAAGUCAUCAAUCCAUGUCAAUUAAUGCAUUUAAUAAUGAUUGUUAUUGUAUCCUUAUUAUAAAGUGUUACCAAAUAAGGUAUAAAUAAUGAAUGGUUUAGUUAUAUUUAUUUUACUCCAAGAGAUUGCAUACUGUAGUCAAACAUCUCUGACUAAAUCAAAUAAAAAUUUGUGUUUUUUUAUGUUUUGUUUGAAUAUUGAAUAAAUCUACACUGUUGCAUUGUGAGCUGUAGAUUU